AUGAGUUCCUAUGGAAUAUAUGCAUCACAGCUACUUAAAAGUUGGACAGUAAGAGCAGAAAUGUCAACUAAAGGACAUUAUUCAGCACGAAACAUCUGCACCAAGUUGUGGAAUCAUGCAGAUGGUGUUCAAACAAAUCAAGAAGCUGAAGCUAAAAAACCACCCUGAUGGAGAAACUCAU
rnacentral:lncRNA from 13 species